rnacentral:rRNA from 1 species
UACGUAGGUGGCAAGCGUUGUCCGGAAUUAUUGGGCGUAAAGGGCUCGUAGGUGGCCAACUAAGUCAGACGUGAAAUCCCCAGGCUUAACCUGGGAACUGCGUCUGAUACUGGAUGGCUUGAAUUCGGGAGAGGGAUGCAGAAUUCCAGGUGUAGCGGUGAAAUGCGUAGAUAUCUGGAGGAAUACCGGUGGCGAAGGCGGCAUCCUGGACCGAGAUUGACACUGAUGAGCGAAAGCUAGGGGAGCAAACGGG